rnacentral:rRNA from 1 species
AACGAACGCUGGCGGCAGGCCUAACACAUGCAAGUCGAGCGAGACCUUCGGGUCUAGCGGCGGACAGGUGAGUAACGCGUGGGAACGUGCCCUUUUCUGCGGAAUAGCCUCGGGAAACUGAGCGUAAUACCGCAUACGCCCUUUGGGGGAAAGAUUUAUCGGAAAAGGAUCGGCCCGCGUUGGAUUAGGUAGUUGGUGGGGUAAUGGCCUACCAAGCCUACGAUCCAUAGCUGGUUUGAGAGGAUGAUCAGCCACACUGGGACUGAGACACGGCCCAGACUCCUACGGGAGGCAGCAGUGGGGAAUCUUAGACAAUGGGGGCAACCCUGAUCUAGCCAUGCCGCGUGAGUGAUGAAGGCCUUAGGGUUGUAAAGCUCUUUCAGCUGGGAAGAUAAUGACGGUACCAGCAGAAGAAGCCCCGGCUAACUCCGUG